UACGUAGGGUGCAAGCGUUGUCCGGAAUUAUUGGGCGUAAAGGGCUCGUAGGCGGUCCGUCACGUCGGGAGUGAAAACUUGGGGCUUAACCCCAAGCCUGCUUCCGAUACGGGCGGACUAGAGGUAGGCAGGGGAGAACGGAAUUCCUGGUGUAGCGGUGAAAUGCGCAGAUAUCAGGAAGAACACCCGUGGCGAAGGCGGCUCUCUGGGACGGUACUGACGCUGAGACGCGAAAGCUAGGGGAGCAAACGGG
rnacentral:rRNA from 1 species